rnacentral:misc_RNA from 1 species
GAUGAAGAACGUAGCGAAAUGCGAUACGUAAUGUGAAUUGCAGAAUUCAGUGAAUCAUCGAGUCUUUGAACGCACAUUGCGCCCCCUGGUAUUCCGGGGGGCAUGCCUGUCCGAGCGUCAUUGCUGCCCUCAAGCACGGCUUGUGUGUUGGGCCUCCGCCCCCCGGUUCCCGGGGGGCGGGCCCGAAAGGCAGCGGCGGCACCGCGUCCGGUCCUCGAGCGUAUGGGGCUUCGUCACCCGCUCCGUAGGCCCGGCCGGCGCCCGCCGGCGACCCCCCUCAAUCUUUCCAGGUUGACCUCGGAUCAGGUAGGGAUACCCGCUGAACUUAAGCAUAUCAAUAAGCGGAGGA